UACGUAGGGUGCAAGCGUUGUCCGGAAUUUAUUGGGCGUAAAGAGCUCGUAGGCGGUCUGUCGCGUCGGAUGUGAAAAUCCAGGGCUCAACCCUGGACCUGCAUUCGAUACGGGCAGACUAGAGUUCGGCAGGGGAGACUGGAAUUCCUGGUGUAGCGGUGAAAUGCGCAGAUAUCAGGAGGAACACCGGUGGCGAAGGCGGGUCUCGUGGGCCGAUACUGACGUGAGGAGCGAAAGCGUGGGGAGCGAACGG
rnacentral:rRNA from 1 species